CCUACGGGAGGCUGCAGUGAGGAAUAUUGGUCAAUGGGAGAGAUCCUGAACCAGCCAAGCCGCGUGAGGGAAGACGGCCCUAUGGGUUGUAAACCUCUUUUGUCGGAGAACAAAACCCGGGACGUGUCCCGGACUGCGUGUAUCCGAAGAAAAAGCAUCGGCUAACUCCGUGCCAGCAGCCGCGGUAAUACGGAGGAUGCGAGCGUUAUCCGGAUUUAUUGGGUUUAAAGGGUGCGUAGGCGGUCCGUUAAGUCAGCGGUAAAAUUGCGGGGCUCAACCUGUGGCCUGCAUUUGAAACUGUUUUUCGUGAGUACUGGAGAGGCAGACGGAAUUCCUAGUGUAGCGGUGAAAUGCGUAGAUAUUAGGAGGAACACCAGUGGCGAAGGCGGUCUGCUGGACAGCAACUGACGCUGAGGCGCGAAAGCGUGGGGAGCAAACAGGAUUAGAUACCCUUGUAGUC
rnacentral:rRNA from 1 species